rnacentral:rRNA from 1 species
GACGAACCGUGCGAACGUUGUUCGGAAUCACUGGGCUUAAAGGGCGCGUAGGCGGCUUAUCAAGUCAGGGGUGAAAUCUUUCGGCUCAACCGGAAAAGUGCCUUUGAUACUGAUAGGCUCGAGGGAGGUAGGGGUAUGUGGAACUUCCGGUGGAGCGGUGAAAUGCGCAGAUAUCAGGAGGAACACCUAUUGCGAAGGCAGCUCGCUGGGACGUAACUGACGCUGAGACGCGAAAGCGUGGGGAGCAAACAGG